rnacentral:rRNA from 1 species
AACGAACGCUGGCGGCAUGCCUAACACAUGCAAGUCGAACGGGAUCCUAGCUUGCUAGGUGAGAGUGGCGGACGGGUGAGUAACACGUGGGAAUCUGCCUUUUGGUUCGGGAUAACCGCGGGAAACUGCGGCUAAUACCGAAUGCCCUCGAGAGAGGAAAGAUUUAUCGCCAGAAGAGGAGCCCGCGUCCGAUUAGGUAGUUGGUGGGGUAAAGGCCUACCAAGCCGACGAUCGGUAGCUGGUCUGAGAGGAUGAUCAGCCACACUGGGACUGAGAUACGGCCCAGACUCCUACGGGAGGCAGCAGUGGGGAAUAUUGGACAAUGGGCGAAAGCCUGAUCCAGCAAUGCCGCGUGAGUGAUGAAGGCCUUAGGGUUGUAAAGCUCUUUACCCGGGAUGAUAAUGACAGUACCGGGAGAAUAAGCCCCGGCUAACUCCGUGCCAGCAGCCGCGGUAAU